UAUUUUUAAUAAAAUGACAAAUAUUUUGAGAUGGAGGGAGUACCAGUAAAGAUAAAGAUCACUUUGUAAAUUUAGUGGUAGGUUCUUUCGUCCAGAUUCCUUGUUAGUGAAUAAUUGAUCGACUUUUAUACAGGAAAACAAAAAAAUAGUAUUUCUUGGAUAACCUCCCGUCAAAAUUUUCCCAAACUAUGAAUUCAAAAGAUCCUGUUUAUUGGUUAAAGAUUGGUUCAAAAGUCUGAGUCGUUAUUUGAGGUUUAAACAGACUAUUGCAAGUCACUCACCUGGAAAACAAGGGACAGUAGGUACGUUCGAAGGGCAAGGGGAAGGGGAUUACUUAAAGAAGGAAAAUUACAGACACGUAUUAGCGCCCUGCUAAAGCAUAUGCUGAUACAUUAUUCAGCCAGAAGACUUGUUUUUCAGCGCUUGAGCUCAAGUGCCAUUCGCUCGAUCAAGCAUCAUAGCUUUAUUUUCCAACCUCAGUUCUUGAAGCUCCCUAUCUUCUGUGCGGCGGAACCUCAGACACUUGAUUCUCUUGCUUCUCCAGUUCCAGAAUUUGGGCCUGAAUCUAUAACUUAUAUCCUUCCAACUGCAGUAAGCGAUGCAUAAUUUGUUGCACAUUCUGCAAUGUUUCGUCCUCUUCAUGGUUAGUAGAAUCAUGAAUCUCUAGAUCUGAAUUAAUGAUAGAGUUCAGAAUUAAUGAUAGAGUUCAGGGAUGCAUAAAUCAUAUUGGAACCUCAUUCUUCCUGGCUCAUACCUGUACUUACGUUUGAGAGCGAACAGUACAGAUUGCUCGAGUUCCAAAUCAUCUGGAAGGAAUAAUCUAUUUUGAUUGUUGUAUGAGCGCAUUUCUUGAUAGAAUAGUUGUUUACUACUUAAAAGCUUCUUCAUUUCCUCCUGCACAUCAUGAGUCAGGUCCAUAAUUUCCAUAAGGGCAGGGUCAGCCACAACAGAACAUCCGGUGCCUCUCCCAAGAAUAUCAUUCAGUCUCUUGAACUUUUUGUUCAGAUCAUUAAACUUAUCCUCACACUGCAGAGGUGAGGCAUGAUGACCUAUUUUAGCCAUAGCAUUGGAAAUAGCCCUCCACUUACCUUUCUUUGGGAAUAUCCCAUUGGACCAAACAUCUCCUCCGAUGUAAGAAACAACAAUUAUCAAAAGCUAAACCAUCUCAUCUGUCCAUUUCAUACAACUAUAUACAAUUGGUUGUUUCUUCUUCCAUCGUGUACGCUGAUAUACAACUGCCUGUUCUUCUUCAGUCGUGUAUGCCAAUAUUCCACUGUCUGUUUUGGGGGUCUCGACAGGUAGUCGUGGCCAGCAUCGAGGGGACUGGUGGUGGAAUGGAGAAGUUUAAGGGAAGGUAGAAGUAAAGAAGGUGGCGUAUGCGAAGUUGAUAGAAAGCAAGGAUGAGGUGGAGUAGUGGACGAAUAGGGAACUUUAUAAGAUGGCGAGGAAGGAGGCGAAGUUGGCGGUUGCGACGGCAAAAACGGAAGCUUUUGAACGCCUUUAUGCUGAACUAGAAGAGAAAGGAGGGGAUCAGAAAUUGUUCAGGCUAGCCAAGGCGAGGGAGAGAAAGGCACGUGAUGUGGUUCAAGUGAAGUGCAUCAAGGACGAGCAUGGCAAAGUAUUGGUAGAGGAGACUCUCAUUAGACGGAGAUGACAGUCAUACUUCUCCAAACUCUUAAAUGAAGAAGGGGACAGAGACAUUGUGUUGGGAGAUUUAGAACAUACAGGAAGGCGUCACGAUUUUGGGUAUUGCAGGAGUAUUAAGGUUGAGGAGGUUAAGGGUGCUGUUCGUAGGAUGCGCAGGGGAAGAGCGACCGGACUUGACGAGAUUCCUGGGGAAUUUUGGAAAAGUGCGGGCCCGGCAGGUUUGGAGUGGCUGACUAGGUUGUUUAAUGUCAUCUUUAAGACGGCAAUGAUGCCUGAAGAAUGGAGGUCGAGUGUAAUGGUCCCUCUAUAUAAGAUUAAGGGAGAUAUCCAGAGUUGCAACAACUAUAGAGGUAUCAAGCUGCUAAGCCAUACUAUGAAAGUGUGGGAAAGGGUGGUGGAGAUGAGGGUGAGGAAAGGCGUGUCUAUUUCAGAGAAUCAGUUCGGAUUCAUGCCGGGACGCUCAACUACAGAAGCCAUCCAUCUUGUGAGGAGACUGGUGGAGCAGUAUAGGGAGAGGAAGAGGGACUUACUCAUGGUAUUCAUCGACCUAGAAAAGGCUUACGACAAAGUUCCAAGAGAGAUCCUAUGGAGAUGCUUGGAGGCUAAAGGUGUACCUGUGGCGUACAUUAGGGUGAUCAAGGACAGUAGGAGGAGACUCGGAGCACUUUCCAGUUGUGAUGGGGUUGCAUCAAGGAUCAGCUCUUAGUCCGUUUUUAUUUGCCUUGGUGAUGGAUGGAUUGACGCGGCAAAUUCAAGGUGAGGUGCCAUGGUGUAUGCUUUUCGCGGAUGACAUAGUCCUGAUCGACGAGACUCGUAGCAGAGUUAACGCUAAGCUGGAGGAUUGGAGACAAACUCUGGAUUCUAAAGGGUUUAAGCUGAGUAGGACCAAGACAGAGUACUUAGAGUGUAAGUUUAGUGAAGCACCUCAGGAGGCUGGCUUGUAAGUGAGGCUUGGUACCCAAGCCAUCCAGAUGAAAAGUAGUUUCAAGUAUCUUGGGUCUAUUAUGCAAGGAAGCGGGGAGAUUGACGAUGAUGUCACACAUCGUAUUGGGGCAAGGUGGAUGAAAUGGAGGCUUGCUUCCGGAGUGCUAUGUGACAAGAAGGUGCCACCACAACUUAAGGGCAAGUUUUACAAAGUGGUGGUUAGACCGACUAUGUUGUAUGGGGCAGAGUGUUGGCCAGUUAAGAUUUCUCACGUUCAAAAGAUGAAAGUUGCUGAGAUGAGAAUGUUGAGAUGGAUGUGUGACCACACCAGGAGUGACAGGAUUAGGAAUGAGGAUAUUCGGGACAAGGUGGGAGUGGCCUCGGUGGAAGACAAGAUGCGAGAAGCGAGAUUGAGAUGGUUUGGGCAUGUGAAGAGGAGAGACACAGAUGCCCUAGUGCGGAGGUGUGAGAGGUUGGCCAUGGAUGGUUUCAGACGAGGUAGGGGUAGGCCAAAGAAGUAUUGGGGAGAGGUAAUUAGACACGACAUGGCGCAGUUACAUCUUACCGAGGACAUGACCUUAGAUAGGAGGGUUUGGAGGACCCACAUUAGGGUAGAAGACUAGUAGAUAGUCUCAUUAUCCUGUCUUAUUAGUAGUCGCAUUAUCGUAGUAUAAUUUCUUGUGCUCUGAUUUAUGCUAUUAUCUGUUAUUUCCUGUGCUUUGAUUAUUCUAUGUUAUCUGUGUCGCUUGCGUUACUUCAUUUCCAUAUCGCUUUGAAUCUCUUAGCCUUAUCUGACCUCUUUUUAUGUUUUUUAUUGAGCCGAGGGUCUUUCGGAAACAGCCGUCCUACCUUGGUAGGAGUAAGGUCUGCGUACACUCUACCCUCCCCAGACUCCACGUUGUGGGAUUUCACUGGGUUGUUGUUGUUGUUUCUCUUCACUAUGUACAGUGACUUCUCCGAUAGCAUCUACAGACAACACCUGUUGGUUCAUGUCUUGCAUGUUGCUACAACCAAUCUUGACAGUCUGAACUUCCUCUUGUCAAGGCCUCUAGGCCUCACGACUUUGAGAGAUGCUGGCAUGGAAGGUCAAAGCAAUGGCAUUAGAGAUGAAUAAACAAAUGAUAAAGUAUUAACACGUCAUGGGAUCCUAGAAGAGGAAGAAUUAAGUGGAAGAACUUGAACGCGUAGGCGCGCAUACUUCCUUGAAAUUCUUGCCUUAUACUGGAGAGAAAAUGCUUAUUGCCCUAUAGAUGUAAAUCAAGUUCUUGCUGAUACUAGGGAGGGAGAGAAGGCUAGACAACUAAUGGGUCAUAGGUCGCACAACUUGGCUGGAAGGAACUCUGUGACUUAGAAUGUGAUUUUAGAACUAGAAAGCAGCAACUUGAGUGGUAACAAAAGUCAACCAUAUCAAGGACAAGGAUCUGCAGAAGUUGAGACUGGAAAAAUAGUGCAUGAUGCUUCAGAAUUAGUUGUCUGGGACUGAAGAUAAAAAAAAACCAGAAAUGGAUGCCCAAUCCAAGCUUACAAUCAACUGGCAUUUUCCCUUUUUUUUCCAGAUUAAUCCUGUGGGCUCCUAAAUUUGUGCGGAUCUAUGGAAGUUAAUAUCCAAGAAAGCAAUUCCCCUAACCAGGGAUCAGGGGGUCUGCAACAUGCUCUAGGAGCCGCAGCUUCCUUUGGUUUUAGCAACAUGCAAGACAUGAAUCAACAAGUGCUGUCUGUAGAUGCCAUUGGAGAAGUCACUGUACAUGCUGAGGAGAAACGGCCAGUUGUAUAUCGACGUACAUGAUGGAAGUAGAAACAGGUAGUUGUAUAUCGGCGUACACGAUGGAAGAAGAAACAACCAGUUUGUAUGAAAUGGACAGAUAAAUUACCAGUUUCAAAAAAAAAAAAAAAAUAGAUUAUUCCUUCCAGAUGAAUAAUGUACCAGCAUAUGUUUUAGCAAGGCGCCAAUACAAACCUAAUUUUCGUUUUCUAAGUAAGCCCUUCCCUGUUACCCUUAGAACAUACCUUUCGUCCGUUAUUUCCUGUUUUCUUUCUUUUGGUGUAAGACAUCCAAAAUCAUAACUUGUUUGGUGUGGUUGUUAAUUUAUGGCUCAGUGGUUGGAUGUUUGGUGCGUGA